rnacentral:rRNA from 1 species
UGCAAGUCGAACGAUGAAGCCCUUCGGGCUGUAUUAGUGGCGAACGGGUGAGUGACGCGUGCGCAAUUCUGCCCUGCACUCUGGGACAAGCCCUGGAAACGGGAGCUAAUACCGGAUAUCACUUCCACUCGCAUGUGUGGGGGUCGAAAGCUCCGGCGGUGCAGGAUGAGCCCGCGGCCUAUCAGCGUUGUUGGCGAGGUAAUGGCUCACCAAGGCGACGACGGGUAGCCGGCCUGAGAGGGCGACCGGCCACACUGGGACUGAGCCACGGAUCAACUCUUAUACGGGAGGCAGCAGUGGGGAAUAUUGCACAAUGGGCGAAAGCCUGAUGCAGCGACGCCGCGUGAGGGAUGACGGCCUUCGGGUUGUAAACCUCUUUCAGCAGGGAAGAAGCGAAAGUGACGGUACCUGCAGAAGAAGCGCCGGCUAACUACGUGCCAGCAGCCGCGGUAAUACGUAGGGCGCAAGCGUUGUCCGGAAUUAUUGGGCGUAAAGAGCUCGUAGGCGGCUUGUCACGUCGGGUGUGAAAGCCCGGGGCUUAACCCCGGGUCUGCAUUCGAUACGGGCUAGCUAGAGUGUGGUAGGGGAGAUCGGAAUUCCUGGUGUAGCGGUGAAAUGCGCAGAUAUCAGGAGGAACACCGGUGGCGAAGGCGGAUCUCUGGGCCAUUACUGACGCUGAGGAGCGAAAGCGUGGGGAGCGAACAGGAUUAGAUACCCUGGUAGUCCACGCCGUAAACGGUGGGAACUAGGUGUUGGCGACAUUCCACGUCGUCGGUGCCGCACCUAACGCAUUAAGUUCCCCGC